UCCAGCGGUAGUCAGCUGUCCGGUGCGUGUCCGUGCCCGUGACCGUGUUACACUGCUGGCAGAUAAAGGCGCUGCCGUGACGUGCCGAAUGGCGCGGUCGCCGUUUUGGUGAAGUGCCGUCGGUACAAGGCAGCGUCCUGCUUCUGAGAGUGCGCUCGGCGGUCUCCUCCUACUCGGCGCUAGUCUGGAAGCAGACAUC